UGAAAAAGACCCAAAUAAAGAAAAGC
rnacentral:piRNA from 1 species